GGGGAAUAUUGCACAAUGGGGGGAACCCUGAUGCAGCCAUGCCGCGUGUAUGAAGAAGGCCUUAGGGUUGUAAAGUACUUUCGUGGAGGAGGAAGGGUUCACGUAAUCGUGGACAUUGACGUUACUCCAAGAAGAAGCACCGGCUAACUCCGUGCCAGCAGCCGCGGUAAUACGGAGGGUGCGAGCGUUAAUCGGAAUGACUGGGCGUAAAGGGCAUGUAGGCGGAUGAUUAAGUUAGAUGUGAAAUCCCUGGGCUUAACCUAGGAAUGCAUUCAAACUGGUAUCUAGAGUAUUGUAGAGGAAGGUAGAAUUCCAUGUGUAGCGUUGAAAUGCGUAAAG
rnacentral:rRNA from 1 species